rnacentral:rRNA from 1 species
AGCGUAGGCGGACUUUUAAGUGGGAUGUGAAAUACUCGGGCUCAACCUGAGUGCUGCAUUCCAAACUGGAAGUCUAGAGUGCAGGAGGGGAAAGUGGAAUUCCUAGUGUAGCGGUGAAAUGCGUAGAUAUUAGGAAGAAUACCAGUGGCGAAGGCGACUUUCUGGACUGUAACUGACACUGAGGCUCGAAAGCGUGGGGAGCAAACA